AGUCUACACAUUAAUUUAAACGCACUCAGAUUAAUUUGUUACUACUUUAUAUAUUGUAUAUGUUUAAUUAAUUCCUCGUCUAUCAAAUAGUGGUAAUAGAGUGUGAAUUUAAUUAAUUAAUUACCGGGUUAUUUGCCGCAACACCGCCAUCAAUGAGAUCAAAACUGCAGGUGUCGCCGGUUGUUGAAUCUUUUGUCACAAAAUGGUGAGCUGGCAAGUAGGUGGGAGCUGCAGAGGUGCCAACGCAUAUAUCAGCUAGCCGAGCAUUCUUCAAUGCACCUUUUUUCACCUGUAGGGCCUGUACAAUAGGUUAAUUUUAUCGAGAUAAUGACUGCAUGCGACUUCUCUGCAGCUAAGUUAAUUAAUUUACAGUUGAAUAACGUGUUUAUUUAAUUACAUCGUUGCUUGAGAAGAUCACUGGCUGAAGUCGCUUGAUGUCAAAAGUUGGAAUGAUCAAAUUUGUUAGGGUGUCUUUGAUAGUAAUGUCUUCUAGUAUCUCCUUUGUAAGACUCCGUAUGUACUUCCCAUCAUACAUUGGCCGUACCCACUUACUCAAAGAGCUUAUAAUUGAUCUUGGAAAGUUUCCGCCCCUGAUUCGGAGAGAAACUUUGUUAAUCAGUCGGUUCUUAAAUUCUCAAUGGGCCACCAUCGUUGCAUUUUUAGCAAGAACUUAACUGGAGUCUCAAUUAUUACCUUGAUAAUUGAGGGAAAAUUUUAGGACAGUGCUCAAAAUAGAAGUUGUUGAUAUCCUUAGCAGCAUACAUAGGUCUGCCGUCCUUGUUGGGAGCUGUAAGCAUGGUGCCUAUUAGCCCACCUGUGCUUGUUCCUGCUACUAUAUCAAAAUAGUCUGCUGUUCUCGCAUUGGGUCCAUCCAAAUCCUUGCACAAAUUACAUAAAACCAAAAUAUAUAUUUAUUAAUAUAUAAGUAUGUUGAUAAUGAAUGACUAAGGUCACACUUUCUAAUGAGGUCGAUAAGCAUCAUUGAUGUUAACGUUUCGAAUGGAAUCAUUGAAAUAUUACGAUGUAUAUAGUAAUAUAUGAGAAAAUUUUUUGUGAAUAUCAACUCCAAUCUGUAUAAAAAUAUACAAAAAAAAAAGUUGUGUGUUGAGAUGGUACGACCGAGUAACUAAAACUAAAUAUCAUACAAAUCCCACAAUAGAUUUCUCUAGCAAUAUAUUUAUUGAACGUUAAUGAAGGAGAAAAGAAGCUAAUUACGUUGGGCAAGGUACCUGAAGCCUGGAUUCAAGAAAGGCUAAAAUGGUGCCAGGAAUGAUGCCUUUAACACCGCCUCCAUCAAUGCUUAGCACGGUUAUUUUCUUGCCUUUGGCAAUGGUUCUAGCGAUCAUUUUGAGUUUUGAUUCAAAUUAAAAGCUUCUUGAUAUUGAGGUAUAUACGUUAUAGCAAAUUAGAAAUAUAUAGAAGCUUAAGAGGUUUAAGUCAACUAAAUUAAGAUUAAAGAAAGACCACGAAUUUUAAAUAAAUAAGAAAAAAGAAAAAAGGAAAAGAAGAGGAGAAAGUCAUCUACUCUCUUUCACUUAGUCUACACGUUUUUUUUUUUCAAAAUCCCAUUUAUAGCCUUUACUUGUUCUGCAAUUGCCUUGUUCAUACUCCCAUCAAAUCACAAUCCAAUACCCUUCCAAUAAUCAGAACCUAAAAUGAAUGAAAUCACGUUCUUGGGCCAGCUUCUCGAAAACAUCGUUGAUGAAACUGCUUGGGCGUGGCCUUGCUGGAGAUAUCGAUAUCGAGAUGGACAUGCUUCAGGAUUGGUCUUCUUCGCCUUUUUCUUCUUCUUCUUCUUCUUCUUUUUCUCGACUGUACCGCCGUCUUUGGUGAUAACUAUCGGCGAUUUGAUUCGGCCUUUGGCGGUGAGGAUGAGGAACACAGCACAGUUCACGGUGAUUUGAGGAGGAAAUAUUUGGCUUUUGGCUUUGGCGGCGCGGCUGUAAAACUGAAACUAGGGCAAAGGCUAUUUUCUUUUAAAUUGUUUGUAUUUAUAUUUUAAAAAAAACUAAUAUAAAAAUAAAUACAUCCGGGCCCGAGUUUUCGAUUUAUGGGUUCACCCAAAUCUAGAACUGGACCCGGAUAUGUCUGUGAUUAAAAGAUUACAUCCGCAGUCCGGUGGGGGUUAAAUCCGGCCCGAAUUAUCCGGGUCUGUGUUAAAAUGCCAACCCUAUUAAACUUACUCAAUUAGGAUGCUUAGUUUGUAUAUCAAUUAAUGUUUCACCAAUAAAAUUCACUAUUUAAAUAUAAAAUAAUAAAACUUAAUAAUUAACUAUCAUUUAAAACCAAUCACAAGAUUAGAGAGGAGAUUUAGGUAAAUCAAACAAACUGAUGGUGCAUGGUUGAUUGAAAAUGAUGAUGUUGUCAUCGAUGCUGACAAUUCGUGAAUAUGCAGGUGCCAACCUAAUAAUCACAAAUUCACAAUAUCAUUUGCUUCUCUAUACCACCAACAAGUGUUAUUAUUUAUCAACUCGCUGCAUUGAUCUAACCUAAUCUUCAAAGUGUGUGAAAUGAAAUUUAAAAUAAAAUUUCGACUGAAAUUUAAUAUUUUUUAUUUUUAUUUUUAUUUUAAAGGAAAAGAACAACCUACACUUAGAAGAUAAUGCCCAAUUAACGAAGAAGAAACCAUGAGAUGAGCGAAUACUGUGUAAUAAAUUAUAAUUAGUACUAUUUAUUACUUUAUCAAUUUUUGUAACACCAAAUGAUGUCACGGAUAAUUAUGUCUUCUUCCUAUUACAUUAUUUUGUUUAAAUAUCAGUACUCUUCUACUUGAUAUUGAUUAAUAUUGACUAAUACAAGAUGAAUUAUAGAAGAUUAUUACUAGCGAUGAUGUACUAAUACUGUAAUUACAGCCCGUUUAGUGAUAAUUGCAACUUUCAAUGGACUAAGGGCGCCUCUGAUCGAGCUUGCGUUGGCCAGACAGUUGUUUAGCAAAGCGGACAAGAGCUUUAUCAUUGUUGCCCUCUCCCUCACUUUUUCGAAAUCUGCCAGUGUCCAAGUCAACCCUCGACACUGGCUUCUUUAAUAGUUUCAAUCCUAUUUCUUCAAGAUUUUGCAUAUUCUCCUCGGUGGAGUUAUCAAAUUUUGCAGAAUCACUGGUCAAUGUGUCAUCCUGUGAAAGUCAGUCACCAGGUAUCACAAGAAACUAAUUAACUUUCAUCUAUUUAAGCAUUCAAUUAGAAAAAGAAAAAGAAAAUAAAGAAAUGCAGAAACAGUUGAGUUGAUUCAAUUAAUUAUAAUGUGGUUCUUUCUCGGUGGUACCUGAAUCCGAAGGUAAUUGGCUUUGCAAUAGGAGGAUUGAAAGAAUGCAGAGACAUGGAAGUCAACCAUAUCGGAGCUUGCAUCAAGAAAAACAUCCAACAUUGGCAUUCUGCCUCGGUAAAAUGCCCAUCUUAGCAUGCCCCAUUCGGAGGUUUUGCGUGCAGAAUAGUAAUUCGUUGGUUCCUUGGCCGCGCCAGUGCCUAGUGACAGAACUAGCAUCUGCCUGCUGUCUAUUGGUUUUAUGUCAUCGGACUCAGCAUUAUGCUUCAAAACCUCAAGCAAAAUGCGGCUUAUGGCCACUAGUGUCUACACAUUCAUUAUCUUUCACUCAUUUAUUACAAAUUCUACUAUAACUUCAUUGUCAAUGCCACAAUAUGGCACCCCAGUUUCAAAAUAUGAAGUUACUUACAGGGUCAUUUGCCGCAACACCACCAUCAAUGAGAUCAAAACAACAUGUGUCGCCGGUAAUUGGAUCUUUUGUCACAAAGCAGUGCGCUGGUAAGUAGGUGGGAGCUGCAGAGGUGCCA
rnacentral:lncRNA from 1 species